GAUGAACGCUGGCGGCGUGCCUAAUACAUGCAAGUCGAGCGAACGGACGAGAAGCUUGCUUCUCUGAUGUUAGCGGCGGACGGGUGAGUAACACGUGUAUAACCUACCUAUAAGACUGGGAUAACUUCGGGAAACCGUAGCUAAUACCGGAUAAUCUUUUGAACCGCAUGGUUCAAAAGUGAAAGACGGUCUUGCUGUCACUUAUAGAUGCAUCCGCGCUGCAUUAGCUAGUUGGUAUGGCAACGGCUUACCAAGGCAACGAUGCAUAGCCGACCUGAGAGCGUGAUCGGCCACCCGGGAACUGAGACACGGUGCAGACUCCUACGGGAGGCAGCAGUAGAGAAUCUUCCGCAAUGGGCGAAAGCGUGACGGAGCAACGCCGCGUCAGUGAUGAAGGUCUUCGGAUCGUAAAGUUCUGAUAUUCGGGAAGAACAUAUGUGUAAGCAACUGUGCACAUCUUGACGGUACCUGAUCAAGAAGCCCCGGCUAACUACGUG
rnacentral:rRNA from 1 species